AACGAACGCUGGCGGCAUGCCUAACACAUGCAAGUCGAACGAGACCUUCGGGUCUAGUGGCGCACGGGUGCGUAACGCCUGGGAACCUGCCCUUAGGUUCGGAAUAACUCCCCGAAAGGGGUGCUAAUACCGGAUAAUGUCUUCGGACCAAAGAUUUAUCGCCUUGGGAUGGGCCCGCGUUGGAUUAGCUAGUUGGUAGGGUAAAAGCCUACCAAGGCGACGAUCCAUAGCUGGUCUGAGAGGAUGAUCAGCCACACUGGGACUGAGACACGGCCCAGACUCCUACGGGAGGCAGCAGUGGGGAAUAUUGGACAAGGGGCGAAAGCCUGAUCCAGCAAUGCCGCGUGAGUGAUGAAGGCCUUAGGGUUGUAAAGCUCUUUUACCCGGGAUGAUAAUGACAGUACCGGGAGAAUAAGCACCGGCUAACUCCGUG
rnacentral:rRNA from 1 species